rnacentral:rRNA from 1 species
AUAUCAGUAAGCGGAGGAAGAGAAACUAACAAGGAUUCCCCCAGUAACGGCGAGUGAAGCGGGAACAGUCCAAAUUUUAAAUCUGGGACCCUCGGUCUCCGAAUUGUAGUUUACAGACGCGGGUCGUGGCUGGCGCGCUGCCGUGCAAGUCUCCUGGAACGGGGCAUCGCGGAGGGUGAGAAUCCCGUGGCACAGCGGCGCACCGGUCGACAGAGUUGCGUCGACGAGUCGAGUUGUUUGGGAAUGCAGCUCAAAAUGGGUGGUAAAUUUCAUCUAAAGCUAAAUAUUGGCCAGAGACCGAUAGCGCACAAGUA